UGCAGACCGGCGUCCGGGCGCGGGCCGCGCUGCGGGCGCUGCACGCCGGCAUGCCGGCGCACCUGGUGUUCGCCACCCCGGUCUGCGC
rnacentral:tRNA from 1 species